GAUGAAGAACGUAGCGAAAUGCGAUAAGUAAUGUGAAUUGCAGAAUUCAGUGAAUCAUCGAAUCUUUGAACGCACAUUGCGCCCCUUGGUAUUCCGAGGGGCAUGCCUGUUCGAGCGUCAUUAUAACCCCUCAAGCUCAGCUUGGUGUUGGGGCCUGCUGCACUGGCAGCCCUUAAAAUCAGUGGCGGCGCCAUCUGGCUCUAAGCGUAGUAAUUCUUCUCGCUAUGGAGUCCUGGUGGAUGCUUGCCAUCAACCCCCAAUUUUUCUAUGGUUGAACUCGUAUCAGGUAGGGAUACCCGCUGAACUUAAGCAUAUCAAUAAGCGGAGGA
rnacentral:misc_RNA from 1 species